rnacentral:rRNA from 1 species
UAUGGCUCAGGAUGAACGCUAGCUACAGGCUUAACAUAUGCAAGUCGAGGGGCAGCAGAUCGAAAGCUUGCUUUGAUGCUGGCGACCGGCGCACGGGUGAGUAACGCGUAUCCAACCUUCCCUAUAGUAGAGAAUAGCCCGGCGAAAGUCGGAUUAAUGCUCUAUGUUGUAUUUAGAAGACAUCUGAAGAAUACCAAAGGUUUACCGCUAUAGGAUGGGGAUGCGUCUGAUUAGGUUGUUGGCGGGGUAACGGCCCACCAAGCCUACGAUCAGUAGGGUCUGAGAGGAAGGUCCCCCACAUUGGAACUGAGACACGGUCCAAACUCCUACGGGAGGCAGCAGUGAGGAAUAUUGGUCAAUGGACGAAAGUCUGAACCAGCCAAGUAGCGUGCAGGAUGACGGCCCUAUGGGUUGUAAACUGCUUUUAUACAGGGAUAAAGUGAGGGACGUGUCCCUUUUUGUAGGUACUGUAUGAAUAAGGACCGGCUAAUUCCGUGCCAGCAGCCGC